rnacentral:rRNA from 1 species
AUUGAACGCUGGCGGCAGGCCUAACACAUGCAAGUCGAACGAGUGGCGGACGGGUGAGUAAUGUCUGGGAAACUGCCUGAUGGAGGGGGAUAACUACUGGAAACGGUAGCUAAUACCGCAUACCAUCGGAUGUGCCCAGAUGGGUUGAGAUAGUAGGUGGGGUAAAGGCGCACCUAGGCGACGAUCCCUAGCUGGUCUGAGAGGAUGACCAGCCACACUGGAACGGAGACACUGUCCAGACUCCUACGGUAGGCAGCAGUGGGGAAUAUUGCACAAUGGGAGCAAGCCUGAUGCAGCCAUGCCGCGUGUAUGAAGAAGGCCUUCGGGUUGUAAAGUACUUUCAGCGGGGAGGCGUUACCCGCAGAAGAAGCACCGGCUAACUCCGUGCCAGCAGCCGCGGUAAUAC